AGAUUUGCCUACUGGCUGGGAAGAAGCAUAUACUUUUGAAGGUGCAAGAUACUAUAUAAACUGAAUAGAUUUCGUUUUCAUUCUUCCUGAGAAUAGAAGAUUUAAUGGAAGUUCCAGUAUCUGUAUGCAGGCCUAUGACUAGCUUCACUUCUUGGUGACGAUUACUAGUUGACAAAACAGCAUAUUCUAAACUAAUUGUCUUCAUUAUCCAGUAGCUUUCCUAUUCCUCAUAACAAAUGUUCCAGAUCUUUGAUUACUCACCUCAGAAUGCUUGUCUCACUCCUCUUUUCCUCAUUCCUCGCAGAUCAUACCUUGGAGAAGAAAAUAGAAACUAUCAGCCAUGAACUUCAUUAGCUUUUUCUUCCUCUUCAAUCCAAAUCUGUCUGUAUCUUCAUUCAUUUUUCUUAACCCUUUCCUUGCUUGCUAUUUCUUCUUUCCAAAACCAAGGAAGGAAUUUUGACGGAAGUGUCCAAGGAAUUCAUUGGGGGAGAAUGAAUGAUUCAGUAAAUGAUGUUAUGAUAAUUAGAUAGAUAGCUAUAUGUAAGCAUAAAAAAUUUUUAAAAACCUUAGGCCCUUGUAAUCAUAUGCACAAAAAUUAAGUGGAUUUAUUGAUUUAAAUGUAAAAACAAAAAGUAUAAAACUUUUAGAAAAAAGGUUGUGACAUUGGGUCUGGCAAAGAUUUCUUAGAUAUAAUUAAAUAUUUAUAAAAGAAAAAAUUGGUAAACUAGACUUCAUCAAAAUUUAGAAAUUUUGCUUUAUCUAUGUAGGACACUGAAGAGAAUGAAAAGACAAGUCACAGACUGGGAGAACAUACAGGCAAAUCACAUAUUUGUCAAAUAACUCAUAGCCAGAAUAUAUAAAGAACUUUUACAACUCAAUAAUAAAAAGACAAACAGCUCAAUUUUUUAAAUGGGGGAAAAUUUUAAAUAUAUUUCACAAGAGAAUAUACUCAAAUAGCCAGUGAGCACAUGAAAAGAUGUUCAGCGUCAUUAAACAUUAGCAGACUGCAAAUUAAAACCACACUGAGGAACCCACUAGAAUGGCUAUAAUGAAAGACUGUCAAUAUCAAGUAUUGCAGAGGAUGUGGAAAAACUCAAACUCUGUUACACUGGUAAUAGAAAUAUAAAAUGUUACAACCACUUUGGAAAGAGAUUGGCAGUCUCUGGAAAAAAUUAAUUGUAAAGUUGACCAAGCAAUUCUACUACUUAAGUAUCUUAAGAAGAAUGAAAACGUGUCCAUACAAAGAUGUGUACUAAAAUGUUGAUAGCAUUAUUCAUAAUCGCCUAACAGUGCAAAUGUCUGUCAACUACUGUGAAUGGAUAGACAAAAUGUGCUAUCAAUACAGUAAAACUACCCAGCAAUAAAAAAAAAAAUUGACUGAUAAAUGGUAUACGAUGACCGAAUUUUAAAACCUUGAUGCUAAGGAGCCAGACACAGAGACUACACAUUGUAUAAUUCCAUUUUUGUGAAUUUCCCAGAAAGGCAAAUUAUAGAGACAAAACAAAUCAGUGGUUGCCUAGGGCUGGUGGUGGAUGUGGAGAUUGAUUGUAAAUGGGACAUGAGGGAAUUUUUUUGUGGUGAUAGAAAUGUUAUAAAACUGGAUGUGGUAAUAGUUGCACAACUCUGUAAAUUCACUAAAAGUCACUGAACAGCACACUUAACCAUAGGUGGGUUUAGUGAAAUGUGAAUUGUACUGCAAUAAAACUAAAUAAAAGCUGAGUUAGUACCA